CCCUUAGAUGUUCUGGGCCGCACGCGCGCUACACUGACGAUGGCAACGAGUUUUUCCUUCGCCGAAAGGUGUGGGUAAUCUUUUGAAACAUCGUCGUGCUGGGGAUAGAUCAUUGCAAUUUUUGAUCUUGAACGAGGAAUUCCUAGUAAGCGCGAGUCAUCAGCUCGCGUUGAUUACGUCCCUGCCCUUUGUACACACCGCCCGUCGCUACUACCGAUUGAAUGGUUUAGGGAGGACUCCUGAUUGGCGCCGCCGCCCCGGCAACGGAGCAGCGGACUGCCGAAAAGUUGUUCAAACUUGAUCAUUUAGAGGAAGUAAAAGUCGUAACA
rnacentral:rRNA from 1 species